rnacentral:rRNA from 1 species
GACGAACGCUGGCGGCGUGCUUAACACAUGCAAGUCGAACGCUGAAGCUCAGCUUGCUGGGUGGAUGAGUGGCGAACGGGUGAGUAACACGUGAGUAACCUGCCCCCUUCUUUGGGAUAACGCCCGGAAACGGGUGCUAAUACUGGAUAUUCACUGAUCUUCGCAUGGGGGUUGGUGGGAAGGUUUUUUCUGGUGGGGGAUGGGCUCGCGGCCUAUCAGCUUGUUGGUGGGGUGAUGGCCUACCAAGGCUUUGACGGGUAGCCGGCCUGAGAGGGUGACCGGUCACAUUGGGACGGAGAUACGGCCCAGACUCCUACGGGAGGCAGCAGUGGGGAAUAUUGCACAAUGGGCGAAAGCCUGAUGCAGCGACGCCGCGUGAGGGAUGGAGGCCUUCGGGUUGUAAACCUCUUUCGCUCAUGGUCAAGCCGCAACAUUGGUUGUGGUGAGGGUAGUGGGUAAAGAAGCGCCGGCUAACUACGUG